CCUACGGGUGGCAGCAGUAGGGAAUAUUGCUCAAUGGGCGAAACCCUGAAGCAGCAACGCCGCGUGGAUGAUGAAGGUCUUCGGAUUGUAAACUCCUUUUGUUAGAGAGGAUAAUGUCGGUAUUUAACACAUAAGCACUGGAUAACACCGUGCCAGCAGCCGCGGUAAUACGGCGGGUGCAAGCGUUACUCGGAAUCACUGGGCGUAACGGGCGCGUAGGCGGGUUAGCAAGUCAGAUGUGAAAGCUUAGGGCUUAACCAGAGAACUGCAUUUGAUACUGUUAUUCUAGAGUAUGGUAGAGGUAGGUAGAAUUCUAGGUGUAGCGGUGAAAUGCGUAGAGAUGAAGAGGAAUACUCAUGGCGAAGGCGGCCUGCUAGACCAAGACUGACGCUGAUGCGCGAAAGCGUGGGGAGCAAACAGGAUUAGAUACCCGGGUAGUC
rnacentral:rRNA from 1 species